AACUGAUAAGAGCUUUUGUAGAUUUUAGUAAUGAUGUCCCUGAAUACCAAGUGAGCUGCAUCUAAAGAGACCCACAGGAAUUAAUAAAAAUGUCUCCAAUUUCAUGGCCGCAGUGGUUUCCUGCUUUUGAGAGAUCACAAAAGAAAAUCACUGAAUGCCACAAUUUAAUUAUGUAUUUCAGGGUGUCUCUGGAUGUAUUGCUCCUUUUUGGAAAUUCUGCAUCCCCAUUCUGGUCCCUCUCUUUGUCUUUCCCCAUCAUUCCACGUCACGCUUUCAUUUUUCUUUUACUUUCUCUCAGCACUCAUUUCCAUUUCUUUUCCUCUUUUUUUUUUCUUAUUUCAAAUUUCUCAUUCAGAUCUCAUCCCCUGUCCUUUCUGUCUUGCCCGGCCCCCUCCUUUUUUUGUACCCUUGUGUUCUCUUUUAUAUUGCUGCCUCUCUCCACCAGUGCUCUGAUUCAUUCCUCCUCUGCUUCACUCUUUUACAUGGGCAGGUGGCAGAGCAGCUGGCCUACUAUGGCCAUGUGUCAGAGACAGUAAUCACAGAGGAGAUGUUUGACGCCGCUGUGCAAUUUGGCACAGUGCAGGGUGACCCCACCCAGAGCUGAGCAAGACGACCUGUUUGGAUAGCCCCCCGGUUGCCCCAAGCACCGACUGGGAAAGGAGCAUCAAGGACGGCUCACCUCACACCUCAACGGCCUCGCAGGUGGGCUCCUCAGGGGAAGAGGGGGAGACGGUUGGCUGUCAAAUGACACGAGGCGGCAGAUCUACAAAAGAUGAGUAAUGAGAUCAUUCGCCUGUGCUUCCAAAGCAUCUCCCUGGACAAGAUCUUUAAGGGCUAUGUGAUCCCCAGCAAGCAAAACCUCAGCAAUUUCAUCCAGCGAUUCCACUCCUGGAAGGAAAGUUACCUGCACGCCUCACAGGUUUACCGCAAGAACCGUUAUGAGAUGUGGUUAUUAAGGAGUUAUGUUGAUGAUCUCUACUCGAGCCAGACUCGUGCUGCGCUUGGCUGUCUGUCUUUUGACAUCAUCACACAACACCUGCUCUUCAUAAGGUAAAACUACUGGCUGAAGACACAACUCUGGCCAGGAAUCCAAGGCCCAAAGCCACCGCGGUCAGGGUUGUUAGCCUGGUUACAAACAGGGGAAAGGUGGUCACUUGGAAGAACAAGCAGCCAAAACGUAUCAAUCCUGCAUCUUCCUCAAAAAGGUUUGCUACCAACCUUUUCAGGCCUGACUUCGUUCGAGGCUGGGUCUCCACAUCACAUCCUGGGAGCUGGAACUUCCCCAAAACUGGUCCAGUUUCCUUGUCAGGGGCACAGAGAGUCUCCAGUCCAGUGUUUGUUUUCCUGCCUUCCAGCACAUCCACUCACAUCCCAAUAAGAAUGAGUCCUCCCUCCAACAUCCUCAGUUUACUUUAAAAGCAAAACCAGGCCAGGUUAAAAAUCUUCUCCAUUAAAAUGUGCACACUUCAUCCUGGAUCUUCGAGGCUUCCCUGCUUCAUCAGUGUCCUACUAAAAAAAUAACGACAACCCCUACUUCCUGUUUCCUCUCCCCUUUAUAGAGAAGGGCUCCAAUCCUCCCCAAUCAGCUGCUCCCUGUAUUCAACUCCAAAUAGCUGGCAGCUGGACUAGAGUAGAAUCUCCACUCCCACAUGGGUGUGGCCCACACCUCACAUCAAACACAAAAAAAACACCAAAGCAUGCAAUUAAUACAAAACAAAAUCUAAAGAAAUGCCAACCCAAAAGCUUAGUGGGGGAUUCUCUCCAUCCUUUUCCACCAUGCUAUACUCUGUAACAGUACCGUUAAGAAAUUAUGCUUGCCCUGCUGGCCACUAACUUCCUCUCCACACUGAAAAGAUUGAUAAUGCAGCACUAACUAUGUGUACAUAGUAAUCUCACUUUGAUUAUUUGAACAUUGUCGUUAUUCAUAACGUUAAACUUCUAAACUUUAUGUCAAGCUGACUGUUCAGAACACACCUGUAUGUUAACAAGUUCUGGAAAAGCUAGAUGGUUAUGUUAAGCAUUUUUUUCAGAGAGUGUGUUGCUGUGAAUUUUGGGAUAACAUUACUUCCCUCCAGAUUAGAUGGUUCGGUGUAUCUUUUGGAAAAGGAGGUAAGAAAGGAGGUGUUGAAGCACCUUUUCACAGUGUUUAAAUCUUUUUAUGGCCACCACUCAGAUACUUCCUUCACCCAUUUAAGCCACAGUCACACAGGCCUGUCAGUAGCUAUCGCCUGGCAACCACCGUUGCUUGGUAAAAAUGUUUAUUCCCUGACCGGUAAGCAAAUGGUUGCUGGAAGGUGCCCGCUGUCGCUAGGUGAAAUUUGUUACAAAGUGGUAAAUGGUGCUACACUUUUUACAAGUCAACUCGUCUCUUUCCAUGUAAGCCAUGGUUGACUGUGGCAAUGAAAGUAAUCAGUGCUGCACCCUCUGUGUGGCCGAUUUCCCCAACUGACAGCCAGCAACCUCCAGCAACCUCCAGCAACAAUUUGCCUACCAUUUAGGGAAUACAAUUGGGCUGGAGACGUCCCAUGUGACUGAAGACUUAGCAAAAUUCUUUAAAAGCAAGAUGUGGACACAAAUCGUUACUCGGAACCAAGAUUGUUCAAGAAUUUCAUUAAACAGUUGAAAAUGAAAUGUUUUUAACUACCUGACAUGGAAAAGCCACACCAAAAUAGGGUGUACAUAGGGUACCACCAUGUUCAGCUAUAGGCUGAGCUAAACACAUUUUGUUAAUUUGCCCUCGCUAAUCCUACUCAUCUGUUUUUAUUUAGAUGAAUUUUGAUUCUACUUUGUUUCACCCUGGAUUCACCAAAGUCCGUCUCUCCCUCUUUCAGCCUCCCAUUUCCACUGUGAGCAGCAACUAUAAACUUUUGUGUCUUCAGGAUUACCUUUCCAUCACGGGAUGAAUGAAGUGUGAAAAGCAAUCUGAGAAUCGCCAGGCCACUUCUGCGGAUGCAAUUAUGCCAAUGGCAGAUCAUUUUCUGACCUUUAUCCUCCAGCCAGUGUUGAUGGCAGUUUGCCACUGUGACAGACUGCUUUUUGUUUUCAUGUAUUUUACAGUUGUGUGACAGCUGAAAACCUGGCUCUUAAAGGCUGAGGUGCUCAUCCGUUUGAAAGACAGCCUGACUUUUUGUGCUGCUCUUUUUCUUUCGCUCUCUAUUUACUUAUGUUGUGUAUGUCCCUGUCAGUGUAACAUUCUCAUUAUUUCUUUACUGCCACUUCUGUCUCCUUCCCUCUCUCUCUUCCUCUGUAUUUUUUGUCCCAUUUCUCUCUUUCUGUCUCCGUAUUACGUGUAUUUCUAUCAGGUAUUUUCCAAAGUCUGUGUCCAGGACCAAACCAGUGUUUUUGUUCUGGCUGAUGCCUUCAUUCAAAGGUUCACGGUCCUGCUUCAGGUAAAUUGCUCCUUCUGACAAACAACCACGAGCACAGAUACAGACACACACCUUUGAACGUAGUGUUGUAGUCCAGUUUCUCAAUUCUGCAGGUUUGUGCUUUUCCAUCCAUUUCAUCUUGUUGUCAAGCUGGUUUUGUCACGUGUUGUAUUUUUGCAUUUGCACAUAGUCCUGUUUACCUGUGCUCAUAUGUUUUUGCUAUUUUGCAAACUGGUGAGCUGUCAUCUCUCAUGGAAUACAUAGUCUGUCUCAUUUGUGAAGAUUUCCUGCAUUAUUUUUUUUUAAAUUCCUGUUUCCCUUUUCCUCCUCAAUUAAAAUCAAAAUACAAAAUACAUUUCUCCUAAAAAAAUUAUUGAUUCGAUUGCAGUUCUGUGACAUAAGUACAUUUCACACUGAUUUCCAAAUUGACUUGUCUAUGAACUCUCCAUUCUACUUGUAUAAUUUACACUCUUAUCACUGCUAC
ensembl:lncRNA